UACGUAGGGGGCUAGCGUUGUCCGGAAUCAUUGGGCGUAAAGCGCGUGUAGGCGGUUCGGUAAGUCUGCUGUGAAAGUCGGGGGCUCAACCCUCGAAUGCCGGUGGAUACUGUCGGGCUCGAAUCCGGAAGAGGUGAGUGGAAUUCCUGGUGUAGCGGUGAAAUGCGCAGAUAUCAGGAGGAACACCAAUGGCGAAGGCAGCUCACUGGGACGGUAUUGACGCUGAGACGCGAAAGCGUGGGGAGCAAACAGG
rnacentral:rRNA from 1 species